rnacentral:rRNA from 1 species
UACGGAGGAUGCAAGCGUUAUCCGGAAUGAUUGGGCGUAAAGCGUCCGCAGGUGGCAAUGUAAGUCUGCUGUCAAAGCGUCUGGCUCAACCAGAUAAAGGCAGUGGAAACUACAUAGCUAGAGUAAGGUAGGGGUAGAGGGAAUUCCCGGUGUAGCGGUGAAAUGCGCAGAUAUCGGGAGGAACACCUAUGGCGAAGGCAGCUCGCUGGGACGUUACUGACGCUGAGACGCGAAAGCGUGGGGAGCAAACAGG